rnacentral:lncRNA from 1 species
CUUUUCCUUUAAUAAUGAUGAGGCCCGGAAAGAUGAAUAUUCCCAGCAAUCCAGCAAUGAUGAGAUGAAGCAAAAUAAACUCUGUGGAACUGGAAGGUGCACAGUUAUAUGGUGUUUGGACUUCCUCCUGGCUGAAGAUGAAGGCCCAAAACAGGAUCUUUCCCAGAAACCGUGUUGCUUUGGCCAGGAAGGUUGCCGGUUGUCUGGAGCCGAAGGUGGCGCCACCUCAGAAGCUCUGUGGCUCUCGCCAGGAAGGUGGCCGGUUGUCUGCAGCCGAAGAUGGCGCCGCCUCAGAAGCUCUCUUGCUCUCGCCUUUCCCAGAAACGGCUGGCCUCUGUAUUCCACACUGUCACCCGUGCAGCCUGUCCUUCGCGGAGUCCUGGAGCCAAGGAGACUCCCGCCGCCAGGGCCUGAGGCACAAACCUCUCGGGCUGGCGGAUCCCUGUGCACUCACCAGGAAGGUGGCUGGUUGUCUGGAGCCGAAGAUUGUGCCGCCUCAUAAGCUCUGUGGCUCUCGCCAGGAAGGUGGCCGGUUGUCUGGAGCCGAAGAUGGCGCCGCCUCAGAAGCUCUGUUGCUCUCGCCAGGAAGGUGGUCAGGAGUGCAUUUUCUUGUAUAAUGAUUGAUGUGGGCCAGCCAAGUUCACUAUCUGCAAUACCACCCAUGGGCAGUAGAUGCUGGGUGCUAUGAGAAAACAGGGUGAACAAACAAAAGGAGCAAGACAUUAAGCAGCACUCCUCCAUGGUCUCUGUAUCUAGGUUCCUGCUCUGAGUUCCUGUCCUGUAUUCACUCAGUGAAGAACUAUGAUGUGGAACUAUAAGUAAAAUUUCACCUUUCCUCCAAAAUACAUUUUGGUUAUGGUGUUUGUGGUGGUUUAAAUAAGUCCCAGAGGUUCAUAGGUUUGACUACUUAGUCAUCAGGGAGUGGCAUUAAUUGGGAGAGGUUAGGAGGUGUGGCCUUGUUGGAGUAGGUGUGGCCUUGUUGGACAAAAUGUUUAAUAGGGGUAUGGGUUUCGAAGUUUCAAAAGCUUAAGUCAGGCCCAAUGGCUCUCUCCCUUCCUGCUGCCUACAGACCCAGAGAUAUAACUCUUUCUAGUACCAUGUCUGCCUGCAUGCUACCAUGCUUUGCAUCAAGCUGAAAAUGGACCAAACCUCUGAAAUCGUAAACAAACUCCAACUAAAUGAUUUCAUGGUGUUCCUUCACAGCAAUAGAACAUUGACUAAGAUAGUAUUUUAUCACAGCAAUAAAAUCUC